rnacentral:rRNA from 1 species
GUGAAUCAUCGAAUCUUUGAACGCACCUUGCGCUCCUUGGUAUUCCGAGGAGCAUGCCUGUUUGAGUGUCAUUAAAUUAAUCAAAUUCUUUUUUUUCUUUUAAAAAGGGAUUUGGAUUUUGGAGUGCUGCUGGCUUGUCAAAAGUCAGCUCCUCUUAAAUUACAAUUAGCGUGUAACACUUUGUUGGAUAGGCUUUGGUUUGAUAAAAUAUCUAUGCCAUUUGCAUGUGAAGCAAAAGUCAGCUUCUAAUUGAAGUUAGUUAACCAACUUAUCAUUAUCACUCUUGACCUCAAAUCAGGUAGGACUUACCCGCUGAACUUUAAGCAUAUCAAUAAGGCGAGG